GAUUUCUGGUAUGGUGCGCCUAUCCCACUGACGCAAGUCAGCGAGUGAUGGUGUGCGCCUGCCAUCCUUCUGGACAAGUUUUCACGAGAUUCUUAACUGAGUUUCGUGAAAAACCAGAUCAUUUACUUUGAAAAAAUUAGAGUGUUUAAAGCAGGCUUGCGCUAUGAAUACAUUAGCAUGGAAUAAUAAAUUAGGACUUUCUCUCCUAUUUUAUUGGUUUCUAGGAAGGAAGUAAUGAUUGAUAGGGAUAGUUGGGGGUGCUAGUAUUCGUCGGCCAGAGGUGAAAUUCUUGGAUUCGAUGAAGACUAACUAAUGCGAAAGCAUU
rnacentral:rRNA from 1 species